rnacentral:misc_RNA from 1 species
GUGAAUCAUCGAAUCUUUGAACGCACAUUGCGCCUCUUGGUAUUCCUCGAGGCAUGCCUAUUCGAGCGUCGUUUCUACCCUCAAGCGCAAGCUUGGUGUUGGGGAACGCCCUGCUAACGCGGCGGCGGCCCUUAAAUCCAUCGGCGGUGCCGGUGCGGCCUGGAGCGCAGCAGCAAUGCAGUUUCCUGAGCCCGCCUGGAACCAGCCGGACAAAUGAAACUUUUCUCACGUCGACCUCGAAUUAGGUAGGGAUACCCGCUGAACUUAAGCAUAUCAAUAAGCGGAGGA